rnacentral:rRNA from 1 species
AGCAGUAGCCGCGGGAAUACAGAGGGUGCGAGCGUUAAUCGGAUUUACUGGGCGUAAAGCGUGCGUAGGCGGCUUUUUAAGUCGGAUGUAAAAUCCCUGAGCUUAACUUAGGAAUUGCAUUCGAUACUGGAAAGCUAGAGUAUGGGAGAGGAUGGUAGAAUUCCAGGUGUAGCGGUGAAAUGCGUAGAGAUCUGGAGGAAUACCGAUGGCGAAGGCAGCCAUCUGGCCUAAUACUGACGCUGAGGUACGAAAGCAUGGGGAGCAAACAGGAUUAGAGACCCGCGUAGUCCCUGUCUCUUAUAA